rnacentral:rRNA from 1 species
UACGGAGGAUGCAAGCGUUAUCCGGAAUGAUUGGGCGUAAAGCGUCCGCAGGUGGCUUUGUAAGUCUGCUGUUAAAGAGUGAGGCUCAACCUCAUAAGAGCAGUGGAAACUACAAGGCUAGAGUACGUUCGGGGCAGAGGGAAUUCCUGGUGUAGCGGUGAAAUGCGUAGAGAUCAGGAAGAACACCGGUGGCGAAAGCGCUCUGCUAGGCCGUAACUGACACUGAGAGACGAAAGCUAGGGGAGCGAAUGGG